rnacentral:misc_RNA from 1 species
UUUUUCCUUUUUUUUUUUUUGAAAAAAAUCCUGUAUUGGGUGUUCUUCAUGAAUUCAGAUUGGAUUGUCACCUAUAGCAAAACAUGUAAUGAGAUUACAGACUAUAGUGUAGCUCCUCUAGGUCUUGAUUAAUUCUUUAAUGAUCUGAUAUGUUAUUUGAGGAUGGAAUCAUGGAAGAUAUAGAGAACUCAAGUCUCUAUUCAGCACAGCGCCAUUCCUUGUCUUCACCAUCCAGGAAGAGAGAAUAUGGAAGAGAAUGACUUCCAAAAAUUGUAUGCGAGAGAUUGGAGAAUUUUUUUGUUUCUUUUCAUUUAAUUCUGACAGAAAUUUAAAUUUGAGAUCUCACAGUCUCUAAUACUACUACCAUUCAACACCAUCAACCUGGCACAUUGAAUAUUGUUAACUUAACAUGAAUGAAACCAUAGCAUUUGUUCAAUAUUCAACAACUAAGUAACUACAUAACCAUUAAAAUCCAACCACAUCAAUCUAUUCAUGCUUCUUUCCCUUGAGCUUUCGCUUGGGGAUCCAACUGAGGAGACCAGCAUCCAGCUUCCGAUAGUGACCUUGAAGCUGGUCAAAUACCUUGUACACGCAGUCAUCUACUUGAUCUUCAUAUCUCUCAUACAGGACUGGCAAAGUGUGAGCAGCAACAAAACCUUGUGAAGAACAAGUGAGCUUUCAGAAUCAGGACGUGCCGAAAAGAUCAUUAAUGGACUCUAUAUUCAGACUCAACGAAAUUAAUUUAUGCAUUUAUUUAAAAUUCAUUUUUAACUUUCUUCUUUACUUAGUUUUUUGUUGUUUUGUUUCCCCUUAGUAAAGAUCUAAUAAUGAUUCAAAAAUAUUUCCUCAUGUAUGUAAAAUUAUUAUACAUGGAUCACCUGCCAUAUUAAAUGGCAAAAAAAAGAGAGAGAAAAUAAUUAUUAACAUAUAAAAGCAAAAAGCUGUCAAUGAAAUCUGCAAUACUUGAACAUCAUAAUAGUUGGAACACUAACCAAUAUACAGAACAGUUAGAAAAUUGCACCAGCUCCCAAUGACAGCGGCAGCCCACAAGCUAGCUACAAUCUGAGAGAAUUCCACAUUGGAAUCAGUUGCUCCAUAUCAAGAGUCUGAACAAGUAAAAUCCAUCCAAUAUACCUAACAGCUCAAGCAAAGUGAAUAUGAAGCUGGACUUGUCAAGUGAAUAACAAAGACUAAAAGAGUAAAUAAGUUUCUGCCACUUGUACUAAUCAGGUGAUGAUAUUUAUUUUUUCAGUAAAAAAUUACUUUGUCUCCUUACACAUCAUAAAUUUAUAAAAUAAAGGAUAAAUAUUUUUCAAUUUUGUUUAAGUUUAAUGUUAAAAAUGUAUUAUGUCACAUUUUUAAAUUUUGCAUAAAUGCAUCCAUGACACUGAAAAAGAGAAAUACUACAUAAGGUUUGCCGCUCAAAGCAAUCAGAAGAUAUUCUUGCUUAUCUUUUCUUUUGAAUUUAGUUUUUCUUUUACUCACAUUCUAACUUGAUUUAAAAUAAAUUCAAACAGAUUAAUAUGUUUUAUAUUAUUCUCAGUAUAUGUAUAAUUUUGUAAUAACAGUAAAGACAGAACUUAUUCAACUCACCAUUAAUAAUGAAAGUUUAGGUUUACACAGAAAUUAUUAUGAUGAAAUUUUAUUCUGCUAUAUGCAGGUACGCAACUAGGUUUUACAAGUGUAAAAUGCAAUAAAUGUUCCUCAAGCAGCAACAAAACCUCAAACAAAUCCAAUUGUAUUCUUCAAAUUGUGAUUUUACAUAUUUGUUAUGAUUAACCCUAUAGUUUUUCCCAUCCUUCUACCCAGGGUAAAAAUUUUAACAAUGGUCAUUCAAUAUAGCACUUCAUUUCACGUGCAGUAACUGUGCAAUCUACUACUGAGUUGCUGACAAAUCAUCAAAAUUCAAUGACAUUUCAACAAGGCUACUAGAGAUACAUUCUAAUUGGAAACUUACCCAAAUCUGAUUUGGUACCUUGUAAAACUUAUUUUACAUAAGUUAAGACAAGCAAAGUGAACCAUUCAAAGCUAAAGCUGCUUUCUCUUACACUCUCACUCAAUUAGGGCAGUAGGCAGAUUUCUUACAAGUUGCCACAUCAAAUUUUUGGCAACUACUAAUUGAAAUAUGCCCCCAGGGACCUUAUUGAAACAAAAAUUACUUGGAUGAAGUUUAGUUACUGCAAGUACUGAAUUUAACUGUAGGUGAAACUAACCAUAUGACGCUUGGUGGGUACCUAGAUUUCAAUAAUAAAGAGAAACAAAUUCCAGCUGCAUUGAUGUACUUUCACGUAAAGUUCCAACUGAGAAUUGCCAAAUGAGAAAGAUAUGCUACUUUUAAUAAAAUUACCUAAAGCAUAUAACAAUCUGCCUGAAGGUGAUUAUUCAAUUUCUAGUUGCUUGAGAGAAAGUUCAGAACAGGAAUAUUCCCAAACAUUUUUCAGCAAUAUUGUUCAAGAUAUGUACCAACUGAACAAUGAUGCUUAUAUAAAUCUUGGAAUUUGCUCAGCUUAUAGCACAUAAACAACUACACCGAUUUUUUUUUUUCCAAUUUAAGAAUAUAAAAAGAAACUGCAGAACUCCUAUUAACCUGUUUCUAGAAGCGUUUAUUUUUUCAUUAGAAACAUCUCCCACAAUCAAUUGGCAUGUCAAGCACUUGCAAGUAACAUUUGUCUCUGAAAUAUAGGCAAAAUCCAUCUCUGCAUAGUUGUAAAGGUGAAUAUCCAUUGUGUCAGUGUUUAAAUAAUCAAGGGCAUCCACAGUGCACAAGGCUCCAUUUUAUUAAAAGGGUUUUCUAUCAAACACAGGCUUUUCCCUAAAUUUUUUUCACAAAAGGACUGUUCACAACUUAAGCCCAAGACCUUAUGGUCACAAAGGAUCAAGAAUAUGCUAGCAAAAUUCAGAUGGUUGUAGGAUCAAGAAGGCAAAUAAAUUCACAUUACACAGCAAAGAAAAUAUUAUCAAGAAAACUUCAACAGUUACAAACAUACCGCAAGAAAUUGUUUCAAAUUUCCUCCACUUGAUACAUCCUGAAGAAACUUCAAAGCAUGAUUAACCUCAAUUCCUAUUGAUCUCCCAACACUGACAAAUACCUCAUCAGGUAGU